rnacentral:rRNA from 1 species
UACGGAGGGUGCGAGCGUUGUUCGGAAUCACUGGGCGUAAAGGGCGUGUAGGCGGUCCGCUAAGUCUGAUGUGAAAGCCCGGGGCUCACCCCCGGAAGUGCAUUGGAAACUGGCGGACUCGAGUCCCGGAGAGGAGAGUGGAAUUCCUGGUGUAGCGGUGAAAUGCGUAGAUAUCAGGAGGAACACCGGUGGCGAAGGCGGCUCUCUGGACGGUGACUGACGCUGAGACGCGAAAGCGUGGGUAGCAAACAGG